rnacentral:rRNA from 1 species
AAUGGGGGAAACCCUGAUGCAGCGAUGCCGCGUGAGUGAAGAAGGCCUUUGGGUUGUAAAACUCUUUCGUCGGGGAAGAAAUGACUGUACCCGAAUAAGAAGCACCGGCUAACUCCGUGCCAGCAGCCGCGGUAAUACGGAGGGUGCGAACGUUGCUCGGAAUCAUUGGGCGUAAGGCGCGCGUAGGCGGCCUAGUAAGUCGGAUGUGAAAGCCCUCGGCUUAACCGGGGAAGUGCAUUCGAAACUGCUAGGCUUGAGUAUGGGAGAGGGUUGCGGAAUUCCCGGUGUAGAGGUGAAAUUCGUAGAUAUCGGGAGGAACACCAGCGGCGAAGGCGGCAACCUGGACCAAUACUGACGCUGAGGUGCGAAAGCGUGGGGAGCAAACAGGAUU